AGUAAUGCCUAGGGAUCUGCCCAGUCGAGGGGGAUAACAGUUGGAAACGACUGCUAAUACCGCAUACGCCCUACGGGGGAAAGGAGGGGACCUUCGGGCCUUCCGCGAUUGGAUGAACCUAGGUGGGAUUAGCUAGUUGGUGAGGUAAUGGCUCACCAAGGCGAAGAUCCCUAUCUGUUCUGAGAGGAUGAUCACCCACACUGGGACAGACACACGGCCCACACUCCUACGGGAGGCAGCAGUGGGGAAUAUUGCACAAUGGGGGAAACCCUGAUGCAGCCAUGCCGCGUGUGUGAAGAAGGCCUUCGGGUUGUAAAGCACUUUCAGUAGGGAGGAAAGGUAGCAGCUUAAUACGCUGUUGCUGUGACGUUACCUACAGAAAAAGGACCGGCUAACUCCGUGCCAGCAGCCGCGGUAAUACGGAGGGUCCGAGCGUUAAUCGGAAUUACUGGGCGUAAAGCGUGCGCAGGCGGUUUGUUAAGCGAGAUGUGAAAGCCCCGGGCUCAACCUGGGAAUUGCAUUUCGAACUGGCGAACUAGAGUCUUGUAGAGGGGGGUAGAAUUCCGGGUGUAGCGGUGAAAUGCGUAGAGAUCUGGAAGAAUACCGGUGGCGAAGGCGGCCCCCUGGACAAAGACUGACGCUCACGCACGAAAGCGUGGGGAGCAAACAAGAUUAUAUACCCUGGUAGUCCACGCCGUAAACGAUGUCUACUCAGAGUGUGGUGUCUUGAACACUGGGCUCUCAAGCUAACGCAUUAAGUACACCGCCUGGGAGAGUACCGCCGCAAGGUUAAAACUCAAAUGAAUUGACGGGCGCCCGCACAAGCGGUGGAGCAUGUGUUUAAUUCGAUGCAACGCGAAGAAUCUUA
rnacentral:rRNA from 1 species